GUUGGCAGCUGAUGCUGUCCCUGGUGCCUUCUCACUCUUAAUAACCCUGCCAAAGGUACGUUUCAUUUGAGUUAGGAGUUUGUGUGUACCAGUCAUGUCAAGUGUAAAAAUAAUCCUUUUCCCGUAACACAACUGCAAAGAUCAUUUCUCAAGCCAGUAAUUUUGACCACACGUCUCUUUACUUUCUUGAUUUGCUUUCAAGGUCAUUCUUUGGCUACCUCACCUAUGAUUCAUUAUGAGAUGACAACUCUCAACAAUUCCUGACACCAACUUACACCACCCGCUUGUUUUGUUUUUGGAUAAAUAGCUCUAUGUUUUCUUUCAUUCUGACUCUCAGGUAUGGGAAAGGAUAUUUUUUGGAGUCUCCAGUAACUCAAUUUGGAAGCUGGCAUGCCGAGUCUUGUACUUGCUGUAUUGAUUGUUAAUGCCUCAUUAUUUUUUCAUACUUCUCUAUCUGUUCACUGCCUGCUCACCAUGUGUUUAAACUGCACUCUUUUUGUUUUGUGUUUUUACAGCAUCUAACAUGGUGUGUUCCUGUCCGUGAUUAGAGCUCCAAAGUGUUAUGGCAAUACAAUGAAUAAGUUGCAACUGCGGAAAUCAACUGUACAGGGAAAUCAAGUCCCCUCUUCAUGUCUCUUGAUCUUCACCAGACUUGAAGAACCUGUAGUUCUUGGAGCUGGAGGUAUGUUUGCUUUGUGUUUCAUGUAUUUGCUCUUUCUACCCUACCAAGUGUCUGCAUGAGGCAGGCACUGUAAGAGGCCAGAAAUUUGAAACCAUUUCUUUCAUUACAGUUUCCACAAGCGGCUACAAUGUCUGUAAUAUAAAGCAAUUAAGCGAUUGGUAGUUGUAUUGUUGAGCCAAAUGGAGGGACAAAUAUGUCAUCUGCUGCUGAAGGACUGAGGGACAAGGAGUAGGUUCCUGUAAGUGUCUGUGAAAUUCCACAAAGAGUGAUAUUAUUAACUCAGGUAAGAUAUAAGAAGUUUGGGAUGUGAUAUCCCAUGAUUUAUUACUUAUUUCUCCUAGUUACAACAGCCUAUAUUAUGCCCAUC
rnacentral:lncRNA from 1 species